CCAAGCAGUUUACCUGGUAGUCCAGUAACAGGCGAUCUGGCUACCCCUGAAAUUAGUCGGAAAGCAUUCCAAAUUCGGGACAGACAGUGUGGUAGCCCUUCGGAGAGUAGUCCACUCUAAAGCACUUUGGUGCGUUUCUACCGGAGCUGACCGGAUCAGCCGAUAGGGUUUAUAAAAAAAAAAAAAAAAAAAAAAAAAAAAAAAAAAAAAAAGUAAAA
rnacentral:lncRNA from 1 species